rnacentral:rRNA from 1 species
CGGACUGGUGAGUAACACGUGGAUAACCUACCUAUAAGACUGGGAUAACUUCGGGAAACCGGAGCUAAUACCGGAUAAUAUUUUGAACCGCAUGGUUCAAAAGUGAAAGACGGUCUUGCUGUCACUUAUAGAUGGAUCCGCGCUGCAUUAGCUAGUUGGUAAGGUAACGGCUUACCAAGGCAACGAUGCAUAGCCGACCUGAGAGGGUUAUCGGCCACACUGGAACUGAGACACGGUCCAG